AGAGUUUGAUCCUGGCUCAGAACGAACGCUGGCGGCGUGGAUAAGACAUGCAAGUCGAACGAGAGAAUUGCUAGCUUGCUAAUAAUUCUCUAGUGGCGCACGGGUGAGUAACACGUGAGUAACCUGCCCCCGAGAGCGGGAUAGCCCUGGGAAACUGGGAUUAAUACCGCAUAGUAUCGAAAGAUUAAAGCAGCAAUGCGCUUGGGGAUGGGCUCGCGGCCUAUUAGUUAGUUGGUGAGGUAACGGCUCACCAAGGCGAUGACGGGUAGCCGGUCUGAGAGGAUGUCCGGCCACACUGGAACUGAGACACGGUCCAGACACCUACGGGUGGCAGCAGUCGAGAAUCAUUCACAAUGGGGGAAACCCUGAUGGUGCGACGCCGCGUGGGGGAAUGAAGGUCUUCGGAUUGUAAACCCCUGUCAUGUGGGAGCAAAUUAAAAAGAUAGUACCACAAGAGGAAGAGACGGCUAACUCUGUGCCAGCAGCCGCGGUAAUACAGAGGUCUCAAGCGUUGUUCGGAAUCACUGGGCGUAAAGCGUGCGUAGGCUGUUUCGUAAGUCGUGUGUGAAAGGCGCGGGCUCAACCCGCGGACGGCACAUGAUACUGCGAGACUAGAGUAAGGGAGGGGGAACCGAGAUAUUCUUCGGUGUAGCAGUGAAAUGCGUAGAUAUCGAGAGGAACACUCGUGGCGAAGGCGGGUUCCUGGACAUUAACUGACGCUGAGGCACGAAGGCCAGGGGAGAGAAAGGGAUUAGAUACCCCUGUAGUCCUGGCAGUAAACGGUGCACGCUUGGUGUGCGGGGAAUCGACCCCCUGCGUGCCGGAGCUAACGCGUUAAGCGUGCCGCCUGGGGAGUACGGUCGCAAGAUUAAAACUCAAAGAAAUUGACGGGGACCCGCACAAGCGGUGGAGUAUGUGGCUUAAUUCGAUGCAACGCGAAGAACCUUACCUGGGCUUGACAUGUAAUGAACAACAUGUGAAAGCAUGCGACUCUUCGGAGGCGUUACACAGGUGCUGCAUGGCCGUCGUCAGCUCGUGUCGUGAGAUGUUUGGUUAAGUCCAGCAACGAGCGCAACCCCUGUUGCCAGUUACCAGCACGUGAAGGUGGGGACUCUGGCGAGACUGCCCAGAUCAACUGGGAGGAAGGUGGGGACGACGUCAGGUCAGUAUGGCCCUUAUGCCCAGGGCUGCACACGUACUACAAUGCCCAGUACAGAGGGGGCCGAAGCCGCGAGGCGGAGGAAAUCCUAAAAACUGGGCCCAGUUCGGACUGUAGGCUGCAACCCGCCUACACGAAGCCGGAAUCGCUAGUAAUGGCGCAUCAGCUACGGCGCCGUGAAUACGUUCCCGGGUCUUGUACACACCGCCCGUCA
rnacentral:rRNA from 1 species